CCUACGGGAGCUGACGAGCGGCGGACGGGUGAGUAAUGCUUGGGAAUAUGCCUUAUGGUGGGGGACAACAGUUGGAAACGACUGCUAAUACCGCAUAACGUCUACGGACCAAAGGGGGGGAUGCUUCGGCACCUCCCGCCAUUUGAUUAGCCCAAGUGAGAUUAGCUAGUAGGUGAGGUAAGAGCUCACCUAGGCGACGAUCUCUAGCUGGUUUGAGAGGAUGAUCAGCCACACUGGGACUGAGACACGGCCCAAACUCC
rnacentral:rRNA from 1 species